rnacentral:rRNA from 1 species
GACGAACGCUGGCGGCGUGCCUAACACAUGCAAGUUGAGCGACGAACCAGGGCUUGCCCUGGGGCAAAGCAGCGAACGGGUGAGUAACACGUGGGUAACCUACCCCGAUAACCGGGACAACCCGAGGAAACUCGGGCUAAUACCGGAUGUGCUCACUGGACUUCGGUUCAGUGCGUAAAGGAAGCUUCGGCCUCCGUAUCGGGAGGGGCCCGCGGCCCAUUAGUUUGUUGGUGAGGUAACGGCUCACCAAGACCGCGAUGGGUAGCUGGUCUGAGAGGACGAUCAGCCACACUGGGACUGAGACACGGCCCAGACUCCUACGGGAGGCAGCAGUGGGGAAUCUUGCGCAAUGCGCGAAAGCGUGACGCAGCAGCGCCGCGUGGGGGAAGAAGGCCUUCGGGUUGUAAACCCCUUUCAGGAGGGACGAAGGUUCGGCGGUGAAUAGCCGUCCGGACUGACGGUACCUCCACAAGAAGCCCCGGCUAACUACGUG